GUGCAGCAAGCUCAAGAGGGGAUAGGGGAGUGUGCAGCACAUGUCUCCACCCCCUUUCUCUUUUUCCCAUUUUCUUGAACUUAGGGGGGUGGCAGAGUACUGUAGCAACACUGUUGAGUACUGUAGCAAUAACUAUUGAGUACUGUAGCGGCACUGUAGCAACGACUGUUUGAGUACUGUAGCGGUACUGAUUGUUUUGUGUCUACAAUAAAUCUUUCAUUGGUUCUGUAUUAGAAACUUUGGUAUCGAGUUUUUCUAAUAUCGAGCACUUGUAUUCAGAUACAGAUUAAUCGAAUAAUUCUUGUAUCCGAUAUCUAUAUUGUCUUGUAAAAAUCUAACUUAAAACAGUGGAUUGCUAAAUUAAAU
rnacentral:lncRNA from 1 species